UACGUAGGGUGCGAGCGUUAAUCGGAAUUACUGGGCGUAAAGCGUGCGCAGGCGGUUUGGUAAGUCAGAUGUGAAAGCCCCGGGCUCAACCUGGGAACUGCAUUUGAGACUGCCAGGCUGGAGUGUGGCAGAGGGGGGUGGAAUUCCACGUGUAGCAGUGAAAUGCGUAGAGAUGUGGAGGAACACCGAUGGCGAAGGCAGCCCCCUGGGUCACUACUGACGCUCAUGCACGAAAGCGUGGGGAGCAAACAGG
rnacentral:rRNA from 1 species